GGAGGGCGCAGCUCAAGCGGUAGAGCGCGUGCUUAGCGUGCACCAGGUCCUGGGUUCAACCCCCGGUUCCUCCA
rnacentral:tRNA from 1 species